AGUGAACGCUGGCGGUAGGCCUAACACAUGCAGGUCGAACGGCAGCACAGUAAGAGCUUGCUCUUACGGGUGGCGAGUGGCGGACGGGUGAGGAAUACAUCGGAAUCUACUUUUUCGUGGGGGAUAACGUAGGGAAACUUACGCUAAUACCGCAUACGACCUACGGGUGAAAGCAGGGGAUCUUCGGACCUUGCGCGAUUGAAUGAGCCGAUGUCGGAUUAGCUAGUUGGCGGGGUAAAGGCCCACCAAGGCGACGAUCCGUAGCUGGUCUGAGAGGAUGAUCAGCCACACUGGAACUGAGACACGGUCCAGACUCCUACGGGAGGCAGCAGUGGGGAAUAUUGGACAAUGGGCGCAAGCCUGAUCCAGCCAUACCGCGUGGGUGAAGAAGGCCUUCGGGUUGUAAAGCCCUUUUGUUGGGAAAGAAAAGCAGCAGGUUAAUACCCCGCUGUUCUGACGGUACCCAAAGAAUAAGCACCGGCUAACCUCGUG
rnacentral:rRNA from 1 species